UACGUAGGGUGCGAGCGUUGUCCGGAAUUAUUGGGCGUAAAGGGCUCGUAGGCGGUCUGUCGCGUCGGGAGUGAAAACUCAGGGCUUAACCCUGAGCCUGCUUCCGAUACGGGCAGACUGGAGUACUGCAGGGGAGACUGGAAUUCCUGGUGUAGCGGUGGAAUGCGCAGAUAUCAGGAGGAACACCGGUGGCGAAGGCGGGUCUCUGGGCCGAUACUGACGCUGAGGAGCGAAAGCGUGGGGAGCGAACAGG
rnacentral:rRNA from 1 species